UUGUCGUUAGAAUAUGAAGCAGCUCCUCCAAGUUUCUGUUGACGGGUUGUUGGUAGUGAAUAGCUUCUUUGCAAGUUUAGACCUUCUCUACCAAAGAAAUAGAAAAAUUAUCAACGCCAGAUCUUCUUCAUGUGUCUCAGCGCUUGCAACGAUACAACUGUGUGAGAGACGGACCCAGGUGGUUAAUAGGAGUGUCAAGUGACACCCUAUAAAAAUAAAAAUGUUAAUGUAAAUGUUCUACUGCACUUUUCAAUUUCAAAUUUACUUAUUUUCAUUUGGACUUUGAGCCCGUAUUAGUUUGUUUUAAAAUUACGGCUAAGGUAUGAUCCAAGUGACUGUGUAUAGAAUCUGCUAACAAGAAGAAAUAUGAGAAGACCAAGUUGAAUCAAAUUCCAAUGAGACCAAGGUAUGAAUCUUAUUGAUGUUCAUGGCGCUUACAACGGAGACCAAGUUGUAGUCAUAUAUUUCGACUCCUUUUUCAGUCAGCCAAUAAUCAAGCAAUGGGCCAACAAGCAGCAAUGUUGCGGCUUGGGGUGGAGCGAACAUUUUUCCGAUAUAAAGUGUGUAUUCUAAUAUGGAUUAUUUGUUGUCGAGAAAGAAUAAAACAGAAGUUUCAGAGUUAGAAAGAGAUCAAUAUCCAUGUAUUAUUUGGUAUUUCUGGAAAGCCC
rnacentral:lncRNA from 1 species